rnacentral:rRNA from 1 species
GACGAACGCUGGCGGCGUGCUUAACACAUGCAAGUCGUACGGUAAGGCCCUUUCUGGGGUCCACGAGUGGCGAACGGGUGCGUAACACGUGAGUAACCUGCCCACAACUUUGGGAUAACGCUAGGAAACUGGUGCUAAUACUGGAUAUGUGCUCCUGCUGCAUGGUGGGGGUUGGAAAGCUCCGGCGGUUGUGGAUGGACUCGCGGCCUAUCAGCUUGUUGGUGGGGUAGUGGCCUACCAAGGCGGCGACGGGUAGCCGGCCUGAGAGGGUGACCGGCCACAUUGGGACUGAGAUACGGCCCAGACUCCUACGGGAGGCAGCAGGGGGGAAUAUUGCACAAUGGGCGCAAGCCUGAUGCAGCAACGCCGCGUGCGGGAUGACGGCCUUCGGGUUGUAAACCGCUUUCAGCAGGGACGAAGCUUUUUGUGACGGUACCUGCAGAAGAAGCACCGGCUAACUACGUG